rnacentral:tRNA from 2 species
AGGCCAGUAGCACAAUUGGCUAGUGCACCGGUCUCCAAAACCGGGGGUUGCGGGUUCGAGUCCCUCCUGGCCUGCCA